rnacentral:rRNA from 1 species
GGAGUAUCGACCCUCUCUGUGCCGAAGCUAACGCUUUAAGUAUCCCGCCUGGGGACUACGGUCGCAAGACUAAAACUCAAAGGAAUUGACGGGGGCCCGCACAAGCAGCGGAGCGUGUGGUUUAAUUCGACGCAACACGAAGAACCUUACCAGGGCUUGACAUGUUGGAAGUAGUGAACCGAAAGGGAAACG